rnacentral:lncRNA from 1 species
CCUACUCUUUUUCGAAAUCUAGAAGGGUGUCUUUAACGUGCAAGAGAUAUGGCUCUCUCUUAACACGGGUCAGCCAUUUAUCGUCCCCUUCCGACGGACUAUCAUCGUUUCCUCAAGACCAUACUCGCAGAUGGUGUCAAGGGAGAGCCGAAAAUUAAGUUCCUGAAAUUUUCAUCCCAAACGGGAAUCGAACCAGGAACCCUUGUGUUAGUAGU